rnacentral:rRNA from 1 species
GGCGAGUGAAGCGGGAUGAGCUCAAAUUUGAAAGCUGGCAGCAAUGUCCGCGUUGUAAUCUCGAGAGUUGUUUUCCGCGCUGGACCACGUACAAGUUCCUUGGAAUAGGAUGUCAUAGAGGGUGAAAAUCCCGUACUUGAUGUGGACGCCCAGUGCUUUGUGAUACAUCUUCGAAGAGUCGAGUUGUUUGGGAAUGCAGCUCAAAAUGGGUGGUAAAUUCCAUCUAAAGCUAAAUAUUGGGGAGAGACCGAUAGCGAACAAGUACCGUGAGGGAAAGAUGAAAAGCACUUUGGAAAGAGAGUUAAACAGUACGUGAAAUUGUCAAAAGGGAAGCAUUUGAAGUCAGACGUGUAUGGUAGUAUUCAGCCUUGCUUUUUGCUUGGUGUAUUUGCUAUUAUACAGGCCAACAUCAGUUUUGAAGGACGGAUAAGGGUACGAGGAAUGUAGCAUCUUCGGAUGUGUUUAUAGCCUUGUACUGGAUACGUCGUUUGGGACUGAGGAACGCAGCGCGCCUUUUAGGCAGACCCUCGGGUACUUUCGCGCUUAGGAUGUUGGCGUAAUGGCUUUA